rnacentral:rRNA from 1 species
CUCAGACAGCCAGGAUGUUGGCUUAGAAGCAGCCAUCAUUUAAAGAAAGCGUAAUAGCUCACUGGUCGAGUCGGCCCGCGCGGAAGAUGUAACGGGGCUAAACCAUGCACCGAAGCUGCGGCAGCGACACAUAGUGUUGUUGGGUAGGGGAGCGUUCUGUAAGCCUGCGAAGGUGUACUGUGAGGUAUGCUGGAGGUAUCAGAAGUGCGAAUGCUGACAUAAGUAACGAUAAUGCGGGUGAAAAACCCGCACGCCGGAAGACCAAGGGUUCCUGUCCAACGUUAAUCGGGGCAGGGUGAGUCGACCCCUAAGGCGAGGCUGAAAAGCGUAGUCGAUGGGAAACGGGUUAAUAUUCCCGUACUGGUGGUAACUGCGAUGGGGGAACGGAGAAGGCUAGGUUGUCCGGGCGACGGUCGUCCCGGUUCAAGCAGGUAGGCAGAGUGAUUAGGCAAAUCCGGUCACUUAAUGCUGAGAUGUGAUGACGAACCACCAAGGUGGUGAAGCAAUUGAUGCCCCGCUUCCAGGAAAAGCCUCUAAGCUUCAGGUUACCAACAAUCGUACCCCAAACCGACACAGGUGGUCAGGUAGAGAAUACUCAGGCGCUUGAGAGAACUCGGGUGAAGGAACUAGGCAAAAUGGUGCCGUAACUUCGGGAGAAGGCACGCUGGCGGUAGGUAAAGUCCCUCGCGGAC